CGUGUCUAUAAGAAAAUAGCACAAGCAGUGAAAAUGCCCAUUUCCACGAUCAGGGCAAUAAUUAAGAAGUUCCAGUCAACUGAAAAUGUUAUGAAUCAACCUGGACAUGUGUCUAUAUCGUCUCAACGCACUAUGAAGAGGAUGGUUUGAGUGGCCAAAAAAAUCUCCAAGGAUCACAGCUGGAGAAUUGCAGAAGUUAGUUGAGUCUUGGGGUCAGAAAGUCUCCAAAACUACAAUCUGAAGUCACCUACAUCACCACAAGUUGUUUGGAAGGGUUUCAACAAAAAAAGACUCUCAUACAAAAACAAACUCGAGCGUCUUCAGUUCGCCAGACACUACUGGAACUUCAAAUGGGAUCGGGUUCUAUGGGCAGAUGAAACCAAAAUAGAGCUUUUUGGUAAUAAACACCAGAGGUGGUUUUGGUGCACACAGAGAGGUAGCCAUAUGGAAAAGUACCUCAUGCCCACGGUUAAAUAUGGUGGUGGCUCUUUAAUGCUUUGGGGCUGUUUUUCUGCCAGAACAAAAGAUUUGAACAAAAGAUCAAAAGGUUAAACAACAAAAGACAAUUUUUCACAGCCUUCUUCGCUCAUAUUUACCACGAUGUCCAAUAUUAGUGGAGGGCACUGUAGCUACCUUGCACAGCUGGGCUAAAGACUCCAUAUUGCACUUAUUUAUGAGUUAUUCCUAUUUGUUUGGUUAUAUCACCAUCCCUCUCUCUCCAUCUGUCUUUCCCCAGUCUUUCCUUACAUAACUCAGUCCUGCCUGACUGACACUAAUAACGCUUGUCAUUCUGUGUGAAGGGCUGUGUGUCACACAAGGCUCUGCAGCUGUUUAUGUGCUUACAGCCAGCCUGAUAUGCAUACUUCUAUAUACAUACAUAUAAAUAUACAGUACAUUCAUGGCAGUUCAAUGACAGCACAGAAUGUUCCGUCCAAAAAUGGCUUCCACAUCAAACACACUGACCCCUGCAGAAUUCAAAAUCGGACCAGUUAACGUUUUCCAAAUUCAGGUCAUCCCAGUUUACUUCUAAUGCAGUUAGAAACUGGAAACAUUAUUUGCACCACAGUUAACACCAACAUUACUAGCACCUCCAGACAAUGAUUUAGUGUUAAGACAACCUUUGUAUGUAGGUUUGGGUCCAUUAACAUAUUGAAACAAAAAUGCUGGGCUAAAUAACGCCCAAAGUGAUGCCAUAAAUCUUCUUAAUAACCCCUGGACCACUUGAUGCAAAACAUGCCAAAAUUGUGGUGUUGCUCUUAUUAAGGGGUUCUUCUAUGCAACCCUUCUAAAGAGAUUUUCAUUAUGGUGGUAUAGUUCAAACUUUUUGAUUGUGGUUUUUUUUUUUUUUUUUUUAUCAGUGAAAUUCUCUAAACUUCAUUCUGAUAAUAGUUCAGUAUUAUACAUCUGUAUUUGAUUUUAAACCUGUAAGCAAAUACAGCCCUUAUAUUUGAACUGCCUGCUCAUGCAACACAAGGAUCACACCCAAACCAACAGAUGCAAAACAACAAAGGACCAUUUUGCAUCAAGUUGAAAGCAAAUUUUCACAUGAGAUCUUUAUACACAGGUUAUGCAACUUUAGAAUUUAUGAUACCAGCUACAAAGAAUGUUGUUAGAAUGUAUCUGACAAACGAGCUUUUAUAACAUUAACUUUAAAUGGCAUAUGUUGAAUCUAUGUUAAAAUAUGAACUAGCAUUACAGAAAACAGGCUAAACUAUUAACUAGCAUUACAGAAAACAGGUUAAAAUAUUAACUAGCAUUACAGAAAACAGGUUAAAAUAUGAACUAGCAUUAAAGAAAACAGGUUAAAAUAUGAACUAGCAUUAAAGAAAACAGGUUAAAAUAUGAACUAGCAUUACAGAAAACAGGUUAAAAUAUGAAGUAGCAUUAAAGAAAACAGGUUAAAAUAUGAAGUAGCAUUACAGAAAACAGGCUAAACCAUUAACUAGCAUUACAGAAAACAGGUUAAAAUAUGAACUAGCAUUACAGAAAACAGGUUAAAAUAUGAACUAGCAUUACAGAAAACAGGCUAAAAUAUGAACUAGCAUUACAGAAAACAGGCUAAAAUAUGAACUAGCAUUACAGAAAACAGGCUAAACCAUUAACUAACAUUACAGAAAACAGGUUAAAAUAUGAACUAGCAUUACAGUACACAAACUUAACCAUGAAUUAGCAUUACACAUAACAAACUAAACCAUGAACUACUAUUAUAGCAAACAGGCUAAACCAUAACCUAGCAUUACAAUAAAAAGGCAAAAUCUAUGGACUAGCAUUAUAGUAAACAGUUCAAAUAUGAACGAGUAAUCAAUGACCUAACAUUACAACAAAUCAUUAAAUCAUGAACUAGCAUUUUAGUAAACUGGCUAAACUAUGGGCUAGCAUUAUACUAAACAGCUAACAUAUAAACAUGAAUUUCUUAGUGAGAUUUUGUAGCAAAAAUACACAUCUAGCUUAAUACACUGGCAUUUUAAACUUCUGAAAACCACAAGAUGUGAAAUUACUUAAUUUACAAAUCAUUCUUGAUGACUCAUAAAACAAACAGUCAAUAUGUUGUUAUUAUCAAGAAAUUAAUGGAUAAACACCAACACCAAGCUAAUGGGUAGUUGGCCAGGGAUGGGGGGAGGUCAUAUUUUCUCUUCACUUUGCUUCCUCAAGCAAAACAAAAGUGUGCCAUUACUGUGGACUAUAAAUGUGUGUUCAUGUGAAUGUAAAAUUCCACUACAACUCGACACACAAUUUCCACACUCUGUUUUCAAGAAAAUGUUUCCUUUUGCCACUUUUGCCUUCGCAAACAUCAAACAUCAGGAGCAUCUGAGGCCCUUCCACAGGCCUGACAAUGUGACCUAGUAAUACAAUAUCACUUCAUUAAAACUGUGCACACAUGCUCACAAACAGUUGUUCUUUAAUCUUCUACCAACUGUUUGGUAUUUGUUGGACAGAUAAAGCAUAUGAGAUAUAGACAUAACUGACCAACAAUAAUAUUUGUGCUCAGUAAAUCCACAUCAUUCAAAUGUUGUUUACUGCAGUAAUACAUCAUAAAUCACAAUGCUGAAUAGAGUUCCUGGUGCUAACUUUUGAUCUAAAGGAAUACAGCCAGGUUUGUUAACCUCACUGCAUGGCUAUCGUUACACCUAGCUUGCACAACAACACAAGCUUCAACAAACCAUGAAGCUUAAAAAUGAACCAUGAAGCAGUUACAUGAUCUGAAGUCAUGAUCAGGUAACUACCUGACAACAAUAAAAAUUUAACUUGUGUAAUAGACCAGAGAUCUUUUGAAAUCCAUUAAUUGAUGCGUAGUGACUCUGAAAAUUAGCAUACAGUCUUCUGUCAAACUGCUGGAACGGCAAGGCCAGUUCAUUUAUUUUUGCUGUAGACUGAACACAUCUGGCCUUGAGAUCAAAAGAUGAAUAUGAGAAGAGAGUUUAGAAUUUCAGCUUUUAUUUCCUGGUACUUACAACCCCAAUUCCAAAAAAGUUGGGACACUGUGUAAAAUGUACAUAAAUGUAAAUAAAAACAGAAUGCAAAGAUUUGCAAAUCCCAUAAACCCAUAUGUUAUUUACAAUAGAACAUAUGAAAACAUAUCAAAUGUUUAAACUGAGUAAAUGUACCAUUUAAAGAAAUAAAUAAGGUAGUUUUGAAUUUGAUGGCCGUAAACAUGUCUCAAAAAAGUUGGGACGGGGGCAACAAAAGGCUGGAAAAGUAAGUGUUAGUAAAAAAGACACAGCUGGAGGUUAAUUGGGAACAGGUCAGUAACAUGACUGGGUAUAAAAAGAGUAUCUUCUAGAGGCGGAGUCUUUCAGAAGUAAAGAUGGGCAGAGGUUCACCAAUCUGCGAAAACCUGCAUCUACAAUUUGUGGAACAAUUUCAGAAUAAUGUUCCUCAAUGUAAAAUUGCGAAGACUAUGAAUAUCUCAUCAUCAACAGUACGUAAUAUCGUCAAAAGAUUCAGAGAAUCUGGUCAAAUCUCUGUGAAAUCUCCACCUUUUUGGAAUUGGGAUGUGUUGAACAACACAAAACAGAACCUUUUUUAUCAGACCACCCAAUUGUUAGGCGAGUAAAAGUAUAGAAACAGACAAGUCUUGAAGUAAAUUAAAGUAAAUAGCAGUUAAUAUUUGUUUGAUUAUCCCUUGCUUGCAAUAACUGCACCAAGUCUGCGACUCACUAACACCACCAAAUUACUGGUGUCUUCUUUUGUGGUGCUUUUCCAGCCUUCUACAGGAGCUUCUUUUAGUUGUUGUUGUUGUUUUUUUGUUUUGUUUGUUUUUUUUUUUU
ensembl:lncRNA